rnacentral:rRNA from 1 species
AGUGGCGGACGGGUGAGUAACGCGUGGGUAACCUGCCCAUAAGUGGGGAAUAACAGUUGGAAACGACUGCUAAUACCGCAUAAGCUGAGCAAUCAGUAAAGGAGGCUUUUGCUUCCGCUUAUGGAUGGGCCCGCGUCUGAUUAGCUGGUUGGUGGGGUAAUGGCCUACCAAGGCAACGAUCAGUAGCCGGCCUGAGAGGGUGGACGGCCACACUGGGACUGAGACACGGCCCAGACUCCUACGGGAGGCAGCAGUGGGGAAUAUUGGUCAAUGGCCGGAAGGCUGAACCAGCCAAGUAGCGUGCAGGAUGACUGCCUUAUGGGUUGUAAACUGCUUUUUUACGGGAAUAAUUAUGAUCACGUGUGAUUAUUUGCAUGUACCGUAAGAAUAAGGAUCGGCUAACUCCGUGCCAGCAGCCGCGGUAAUACGGAGGAUCCUAGUGUUAUCCGGAUUUAUUGGGUUUAAAGGGAGCGUAGGCGGGAGGUCAAGUCAGCUGUGAAAUGUAUCUGCUUAACGGGUACACUGCAGUUGAAACUGGUUUUCUUGAGUGCGUAAGAGGCAGGCGGAAUUCGUUGUGUAGCGGUGAAAUGCUUAGAUAUGACGAGGAACUCCUAUUGCGAAGGCAGCUUGCUGGGUCGUUACUGACGCUGAUGCUCGAAGGUGCGGGGAUCAAACAGGAUUAGAUACCCUGGUAGUCCGCACAGUAAACUAUGGAUACUCUCUGCCGGCGAUACAUUGUCGGUGGCCAAGCGAAAGCGUUAAGUAUCCCACCUGGGGAGUACGUUCGCAAGAAUGAAACUCAAAGGAAUUGACGGGGGCCCGCACAAGCGGAGGAACAUGUGGUUUAAUUUGAUGAUACGCGAGGAACCUUACCCGGGUUUGAAUUGCUGAUGGCGAUAAUUGGAGACAGUUAUUUCCCUUCGGGGCGUCAGUGAAGGUGCUGCAUGGUUGUCGUCAGCUCGUGCCGUGAGGUGUCGGCUUAAGUGCCAUAACGAGCGCAACCCUCGUCAUUAGUUGCCAUCAGGUCAAGCUGGGGACUUUAAUGAGACUGCCACCGUAAGGUGUGAGGAAGGGGGGGAGGACGUCAAAUCAGCACGGCCCUUAUGUCCGGGGGGACACACGUGUUACAAUGGGAGGUACAGAGGGCAGCUAUCCGGUGACGGAAUGCUAAUCUCCAAAACCUUUCUCAGUUCGGAUUGGAGUCUGCAACUCGACUCCACGAAGGUGGAUUCGCUAGUAAUCGCGCAUCAGCCAUGGCGCG